GACGAACCGUGCGAACGUUGUUCGGAAUCACUGGGCUUAAAGGGCGCGUAGGCGGACCACCAAGUCCGGGGUGAAAUCCUCCGGCUUAACCGGAGAAUUGCCUGGGAUACUGGUGGUCUUGAGGGAGGUAGGGGCACGCGGAACUUCCGGUGGAGCGGUGAAAUGCGUUGAUAUCGGAAGGAACGCCGGUGGCGAAAGCGGCGUGCUGGCCCUCUUCUGACGCUGAGGCGCGAAAGCCAGGGGAGCGAACGG
rnacentral:rRNA from 1 species